rnacentral:rRNA from 1 species
AUUGAACGCUGGCGGCGGGCCUAACACAUGCAAGUCGAACGAGUGGCGGACGGGUGAGUAAUGUCUGGGAAACUGCCCGACGGAGGGGGAUAACUACUGGAAACAGUAAAUAAUACCGCAUACUAUCUGCCAUACACAGAUGGGUUUUGAUAGUCGGUGGGGUAACGGCUCACCUAGGCGACGAUCCCUAGCUGGUCUGAGAGGAUGACCAGCCACACUGGAACUGAGACACGGUCCAGACUCCUACGGGAGGCAGCAGGGGGGAAUAUUGCACAAUGGGCGCAAGCCUGAUGCAGCCAUGCCGGGUGUAUGAAGAAGGCCUUCGGGUUGUAAAGUACUUUCAGCGAGGAGGCGUUACUCGCAGAAGAAGCACCGGCUAACUCCGUGCCAGCAGCCGCGGUAAUAC